GAUGAACGCUAGCUACAGGCUUAACACAUGCAAGUCGAGGGGCAGCAUGGUCUUAGCUUGCUAAGGCCGAUGGCGACCGGCGCACGGGUGAGUAACACGUAUCCAACCUGCCGUCUACUCUUGGACAGCCUUCUGAAAGGAAGAUUAAUACAAGAUGGCAUCAUGAGUCCGCAUGUUCACAUGAUUAAAGGUAUUCCGGUAGACGAUGGGGAUGCGUUCCAUUAGAUAGUAGGCGGGGUAACGGCCCACCUAGUCUUCGAUGGAUAGGGGUUCUGAGAGGAAGGUCCCCCACAUUGGAACUGAGACACGGUCCAAACUCCUACGGGAGGCAGCAGUGAGGAUAUUGGUCAAUGGGCGAGAGCCUGAACCAGCCAAGUAGCGUGAAGGAUGACUGCCCUAUGGGUUG
rnacentral:rRNA from 1 species